AACCAUAACUCGUUUCACCGAUAUAGGCUUUCUCAAAUGGUGUAAAGUUGGUAUACAACUUGAGAAAGCCUAUAUCGGUGAAAUGCGUUAUGGUU